AUCCGGGGGAGAAUUCCCUUAUUGCUCACUUCUCUGAGCUUCAAGGUUCUGAAGCAUCCAGAUAAGAAGUUCCGGGUUGGCCAGGCCCUGAGGGCCACUGUUGUUGGCCCAGAUUCCUCCAAGACCUUCUUAUGUCUGUCCCUCACAGGUGUGGGGAUGAAACAGUGCCUGGUCGGGGAAGGGAAGCGGCGGGAAGGGGUGGGAUGGGUUUUCAGCUAUUGCUUGAGUUGGAGGACCCCUUCGGUAUUGGAAUCCUCAGAAAGCCUGGUGUGGGACCUUCUUGGAACAGUUUUUCUCUUGGGCUUUGCUCUGGCCCAGUUACUCCACUGCUCUCUGAGUUACCUUUACCUGUACAGGUUACCCUUACCUACACAGGUGUUUUUCUCAAGUCCCUGGGAAAGAGUUGUCCACCACUUGGCCCUGAGGUUCUUGGCUACAUGGCAGGGUGAUCUCAGUCUAGAUGGUUCUGGAUCACUCAGCCCGGAUACCCCAAGUCUGGG
rnacentral:sRNA from 1 species